AUUGAACGCUGGCGGCAUGCUUUACACAUGCAAGUCGAACGGUAACAGGCCGCAAGGUGCUGACGAGUGGCGAACGGGUGAGUAAUGCAUCGGAACGUGCCCAGUCGUGGGGGAUAACUACUCGAAAGAGUAGCUAAUACCGCAUACGAUCUAUGGAUGAAAGCGGGGGACCGUAAGGCCUCGCGCGAUUGGAGCGGCCGAUGUCAGAUUAGGUAGUUGGUGGGGUAAAGGCUCACCAAGCCAACGAUCUGUAGCUGGUCUGAGAGGACAACCAGCCACACUGGGACUGAGACACGGCCCAGACUCCUACGGGAGGCAGCAGUGGGGAAUUUUGGACAAUGGGCGCAAGCCUGAUCCAGCAAUGCCGCGUGCAGGAAGAAGGCCUUCGGGUUGUAAACUGCUUUUAUACGGAACGAAACGGCUCUGGUUAAUACCCGGGGCUAAUGACGGUACCGUAAGAAUAAGCACCGGCUAACUACGUG
rnacentral:rRNA from 1 species